rnacentral:rRNA from 1 species
AUUGAUGGCGAGUGGCGAACGGGUGAGUAAUACAUCGGAACGUGCCCUGUAGUGGGGGAUAACUAGUCGAAAGAUUAGCUAAUACCGCAUACGACCUGAGGGUGAAAGUGGGGGACCGCAAGGCCUCAUGCUAUAGGAGCGGCCGAUGUCUGAUUAGCUAGUUGGUGAGGUAAAGGCUCACCAAGGCGACGAUCAGUAGCUGGUCUGAGAGGACGAUCAGCCACACUGGGACUGAGACACGGCCCAGACUCCUACGGGAGGCAGCAGUGGGGAAUUUUGGACAAUGGGCGAAAGCCUGAUCCAGCAAUGCCGCGUGUGUGAAGAAGGCCUUCGGGUUGUAAAGCACUUUUGUCCGGAAAGAAAUGGCUCUGGUUAAUACCUGGGGUCGAUGACGGUACCGGAAGAAUAAGGACCGGCUAACUACGUGCCAGCAGCCGCGGUAAUACGUAGGGUCCAAGCGUUAAUCGGAAUUACUGGGCGUAAAGCGUGCGCAGGCGGUUGUGCAAGACCGAUGUGAAAUCCCCGAGCUUAACUUGGGAAUUGCAUUGGUGACUGCACGGCUAGAGUGUGUCAGAGGGGGGUAGAAUUCCACGUGUAGCAGUGAAAUGCGUAGAGAUGUGGAGGAAUACCGAUGGCGAA